GAUUAGUUGGUUUAUUACAAAAAGACAAUUAUUAGACAAAAAGGAAAUUACUGUAAUAAAGGGGACAGCGAUAGAACAGUUUGGAAAAAGAAUGGAAAUGAAGCAAGGAUUCAGGGUGCAGAGAGAGAGAGAGUCACCACCAUGGACGCAGCGGUGUCCUGGGGAUCCGUCGUAGUCAGUGGUGGGAGUUCUUCAGGGUUUGUAGUCGGUAUCGGAGCAGACUGUCCCCCAAGAGUCCGUGGUAGUUGUCGGAGGUGGGUGUCCUAAUGGAGGUGUCCUUCUAAAGUCAUCCCCUCGAAGGUAUCCUUGGAGGUGUCCUAAUGGAGUUGCCCUCAUGGCGAUGUCUCAUGGAGGGUGUCCCUCAGGGUUGAUAGUAGAUAUCCGUGGAGAGUGUCCUCACGGAGGUGUCCUUCUGGAGUCAUCCUCAUAGCAAUGGCUCCCUUUCGUGAUGACCUUUUCCCCCUUUUAUAAUGAGUUGGGGGGAGUACCUCUCUUCUUCAUGUCAUGUAUUACACAUUCCUGGUGGACUACUUUCCCUGGUCUUGCAGCCAGCUCUUCAACUGCACAUGUCUGCAGCAAUUCUUGGGAUGAUGGGCAGCAAUUCCUCACACCAAUCCUUGAGGUAAUGGACAGAAGAGUCUUAGCUCUUUCCCGCUUAUCCCUCAGGCAAUGGAUGGUGGAGUCCCAGUUCAGCUCUUCACACCCUUCUCCCAGGCAAUGGAUGUUGGAGUCUUAUCUCAACUCCUCCCACCCAUCUCUGAGACAAUGGAUUGGUGGAAUUCCAUCUCAGCUUCUCAUACCAAUCUUUGAGACAACGGACAGAGGAGUCUGAUUUCAGAUCAGUCUCUCACACAUCCGUCUCCAUGUUUAUGACACAGAGAGAAGUCCUUGAGAAAUCCAGUGUGCCUCAUUUCAGUGCUGCGUUGUGUAGUGGAGGACAGAAUCCUUGCCGUGUGGUUUGUUGGUAAGAGAGAAACAAGCCACAUGAGGUAACACUGAGUGCAGAUGCAGGAGGUGGCUCUGAAACGGAGCAAGGGAUGGGUGUGCAGAGGUGUGGAGUUGGAAUGUGUUGGAGCCUUGCGCAAAGAAGGUGAUGUCGCAGACCGCUUGAAGAACCAGCGCCAAAGGUAUCAGCACAAGUGGUUUCAUUGAAGUAAGAUGUUGUGAAAAUGAGAUGAGAUGAAGUUCGAUGGCAAGGUUCACUCUUACUUAUUGCAGAGAGAGGAUAUAAUAAUGAUUCAAAGUUACUAAGACAAAAUCUAGUGCACUAUGAUAUGAGGUUGUGUGUGAUACUGGUCACAUACCAAAGAUCUGCAGUUGGUAAGGGGUCUCUCAGCCUCGAGGAGUAACUUUUAGAGGUGUUCCAGCUCAAGAGAAGAUCACCAUUGUGCAGCCAGCUGCUUAGCAGGGAGAGCUCAAAGAAGGCUCACUUCAGGCUGUCGUAUUCAUGGAAUAAAGUGGUUGGCUUGCAGUCAGAUUACAUGUUAUGGAAAAGGUAAACAUGAGACUCCUUGUACCCACAACAUUCUUUGUUCCUUGAUAAAUGAGUCUUGGAAGAACCACCUGCUAUUCAUGUGUUAAUUGCACAGCAGGUGUUG
ensembl:lncRNA